rnacentral:rRNA from 1 species
GAAUAUUUGACACUGGGGGGAACCCUGAUCCAGCCAUGCCGCGUGUGUGAAGAAGGCCUUUUGGUUGUAAAGCACUUUCAGCGAGGCGGAGGCUCCUCUAGUUAAUACCUAUAGAUAGUGGACGUUACUCGCCGAAUAAGCCACGGCUAACUCUGUUCCAGCAGCCGCGGUAAUACAGAGGGUGCAAGCGUUAAUCGGAUUUACUGGGCGUAAAGCGCGCGUAGGUGGCCAAUUAAGUCAAAUGUGAAAUCCCCGAGCUUAACUUGGGAAUUGCAUUCGAUACUGGUUGGCUAGAGUAUGGGAGAGGAUGGUAGAAUUCCAGGUGUAGCGGUGAAAUGCGUAGAGAGCUGGAGGAAUACCGAUGGCGAAGGCAGCCAUCUGGCCUAAUACUGACACUGAGGUGCGAAAGCAUGGGGAGCAAAC